AGAGUUCGAUUAUGGCUCAGGAUGAACGCUGGCGGCGUGCCUAACACAUGCAAGUCGAACGAAGCUCCUGCGACAGAUUCCUUCGGGAUGAAGAUGCUUGAGACUUAGUGGCGGACGGGUGAGUAACGCGUGGGUAACCUGCCCUGUACUGGGGGACAACAGUUAGAAAUGACUGCUAAUACCGCAUAAGCCUACAGAGUCGCAUGACUCAGCAGGAAAAAUUCCGGUGGUACAGGAUGGGCCCGCGUCUGAUUAGCUAGUUGGUGAGGUAACGGCUCACCAAGGCGACGAUCAGUAGCCGGCUUGAGAGAGUGAACGGCCACAUUGGGACUGAGACACGGCCCAA
rnacentral:rRNA from 1 species